CUCAAAAUCUCUAAAUGCCUUAAAGUUUACGUUUCAUCCCCUUUGGGUAGGAUUUUCCCUAGCAUGUAGGGGUUGGGCCUUCCUCAGACCCUUGACAGAGAUAAAGAGUUUUUUUCUUGUUUCCCUUUGUCUCUAAUCUCUUUUCAACAGUUUGUUGUUUGUUUUUCUAGAGGAAGCGUUCUAUGUAAGGUCCAGUCUGGAUCAGGAAGUGCUUGGGAGCAGCUGCAGCGUGGAUGGGCCGUGCCCUUGGAGAAGGCUGAGGACAUCGUUUGGGACCAGCUUUUCUCCCAGCGGUGGAUGGCGUGAGCCGGGCUCUGCGGGUGCUGAGGCUGCUCUGGGCCCUGCCAGGGCUCUGCUGGAGCUCAGCACCGGGCCACAAUCAGCCAAAGGAGAAAUGGGGUGCCCUGCAGCACAGACUUGCUUGAGCAUUUCAGCAACACAGUUCAAGUUUGCAGAGUGUACACCUCCAAGGGAAAACAUGGCACCACCCAAGAAAUAAACUUGUUCAAUAACUUCUGAAAUUAAAUCAAUCUGGGAUGACCCCAAAUGACAUUUUGCAGCUUGCUCAAGCUGUAGCUCAGCCCUUCUCUGACCAGUUCUCUCCCCCACCUGCCUUUUACUCCCCAACUGCUCCCUAUUUUCCGUCAGUGAGCUCCCAGCCCAUUCCAGUCUCCAUCACACUGUUGCCUUCCUUGGUGCCGCUCACCAUGAGGAAGGCCGAGCCCCAGGCUUAGGGACUCAUCCUGUCACUGGCUGAGGAGCAGCAAUGUCUCAGAGCUCCGGUGGGAUUUUAGUGUCAUUCAGAGCUGCUCUCCAGCCCCCAGCUCUCCUCACUGCUGAGUUCCCACUCCCUUUUCCUCAUCCUUGCAGCAGGAUGAGCUCUGUGAAUCCCCUUGAGCCUCCCCACUCUUCCCAGCCCACGCACCCACCUCAGUUAGGCUGAAGCUGCAGCUUCUCUGUCUCCUCUGGCACAGCAGUGCAGUCCCCUGUGCGGGGAGCCCCAGCCCCAGAGCACAGCACUCAGCAGUGCAGUCAGGGCUGGAGCAGCUGCCCUGCAGCCCUGGCUUGGCUCUUUGUGGCAGGGAAUGCUCCCUGUUUGCAGCUGUCCCUGCAGGAUGGCCCCAGGGCAGAGCCCAGCCGGGCUCCCACUGCAGCCCCUGAAGCUGUGAAACCAGUGAAAUCAUCCAGACUGGGUUUUUCAAAGGCCCUUAGAAGGAAGGGCUUGAGAAUAAACGUGCUCUGUUUGCCACA